rnacentral:misc_RNA from 1 species
UACGUAGGUGGCAAGCGUUGUUCGGCAUUAUUGGGCGUAAAGCGCGCGCAGGCGGUCCUUUAAGUCGGCUGUGAAAGCCCACGGCUCAACCGUGGAGGGUCAUUGGAAACUGGAGGACUUGAGUGCAGAAGAGGAAAGUGGAAUUCCAUGUGUAGCGGUGAAAUGCGUAGAGAUGUGGAGGAACACCAGUGGCGAAGGCGACUUUAUGGUCUGUAACUGACGCUGAGGCGUGAAAGCGUGGAGAGCAAACAGG